GUUGUAUCAUAUUGUGGGUGUUGCGGUGAAACAGGAAUGAUAUUAUUUGGAGAGGGAAUGGAAGUGAUUCGUCUGUUAUAGUAUUUUUUGCUUCUUCAUUCUUGCAUAGUUGGUAGCAGGCUCAGUGCAGUAAAGUUGUCAUAGCUGCUGGGGUUAGUAAUUUAUGUUCAAAUGAUGGUUCUGUUGUAUGGCAGCAUCCAGGUGAAG
rnacentral:misc_RNA from 1 species